GAGGGGCUGAAUGAUACUCAAAUGUCUUGUGUCUCAGACAAAGGAAGGAGGUUGAAUGAGGUAUACUGUAAUUUACUUGUGAUCUCUCAAUGGAUUCUCCAUAAACCAAGACCGUCACAGUUUUGAACAUGCUAUCUCAGCUAUAGCCAAGAAGUACCAGACUCGUGCUACCUAUCCCCUGCUGAUGUAAGUCGAGCGGCAUUAA